rnacentral:tRNA from 1 species
GUUAUUUUGGCAGAUUAGUGCAAUAGAUUUAGGAUCUUUUUAUGUAAAUUUUACAAAUAAUA